rnacentral:lncRNA from 1 species
UGCAACGUUAAAUUAUGUGUAAUAUCAAUACUAUAAAAGAGUUAUGAGGAACGUAGGAAAUACAAGGAAAUAGUCCAUGAUACGAUAUAAUCGGCCUAUAAAAGGCCUACAUUAUCCGCAAGCCUCCCUAUUUUUCCGCCCCAGGCCUUUUUGUUCUGGUGCCAAUGUAUUGCACGUCUAUGUUAAUUAUAUUCUGACGACAUUGUAAACAUACUAUGCGUUCCUAGAAUCAUUUGUUUCUAAUUCAGUUAAUUAAGUGUAAUAAAGUAUCCUAUGCUUAUGGUUUCUAUCCAAUGAACCUAAACACAUUUUAGAUAACUAUUCAUAUUUGAAGAAGCAUUAUACCUGAAAGAAAAAGAACAACAAAUAGAUAUGAGGGUUCUGAGGGAGUAAAAUGGAAACUGAAAUUUCCCCAGAGGCGCUGGAGCCGCCUCCGUUGCCCAAACAGUGCGGGGAC